rnacentral:rRNA from 1 species
CCACGUCUGUCUGAGGGUCGGAUUAUGCUUGCAGAAGGAAGUUUCUUCCUGAUUGGUUGUGCCGGAUGCCUCCGCCGACCUAAAUCUUGUGAGUUUUUAACCCUGGCCGAGAGGCAUGCCACGAGAGGAUGUCCGAGAGCGGGAGUGGCGAAGUGCCUGCCUGCGAGCUUGGACCAGUGGUGGGAGCCUGUGCUGGGGAAUUCAGAUGUGGAGUCUAUCUCCUACUUAACUUUGUCGACCUCAGAUCAGGCGAGACGACCCCGCUGAAUUUAAGCAUAUAACUAAGCGGAGGAAAAGAAACCAACCAGGAUUCCCUCAGUAACGG